UGGUGCCAGGAGUUGGACUCAGUGAUCCUUGUGGGUCCCUUCCAACUUGGGAUAUUCUAUGAUUCUAUUCUAUGAGAGUUGAACCAUUUGGCUGUGUUGUUUUCCGUGACAACCCUGAAUCCUGGAUUGUGACAGGUGACAGUCGAAAGACUGAGCAGGAAAAAAACAGAUGGAGCUCGUGACAGCUGCAGAUUCAGGUAAAAAUUGUGGGAAGUCUGCAUUUAUGCUAGUGCCAACUUAAUUUCUGCCUUGGUUUGUAAAUAUUUGGGAGUGAAAACCAACUUAUUUUGUUCUGUGUUCUCACCAAACCUAGAGAAGGGGCUUUGCCGUGUAGCACAGUUCUGUGCACUAGUGGUCACUGUAUUUUAAAUGGUCCCCAACCUCAAACCAUUCUUUGAAGCACUGCUCUCUGAACUGUCUCAGCAGGACUUUCUGAAGCACUCCCAACUGAAAGAAGACUUCCUAGGGAUCCCAUAUACCUUUAAGUGAAGUUGACAUUCAAAAUUGCCUAGGAGCUUCCAUUAAUUCUUAAUGAGAAUUGCAAAAGACUUCUGAAACUAGCUUUGUCUGUUAAGAUGCUUAGCAGGGAGUGAACUCCUGCCUGGUGGAAAUCUGGCCACUUUAUGUGCCUAAAAUUAUCUAUUUUGGAAAAAAAAAAAAAAGUCCUUACUGGCGCUGAGCACCAUGGAGUGAAAUUCCCAGUGCUUGAUGCACUAGUGAGGAUUAAUCUCCAUACCCUGGCUUGGUCAGUGUAGAUGCAACAACUUGCCACAAGCUGUUUGGUGCCAGCUGUAAAACAAAAUAGUAAUUUUAGCUGUAAUGAUUGUGUCAAAUGACCUGCCUGCAACUUUUCUUCUCCUUUUCCACAUAAAAUACUAAUAACAUCUGUAAUGAUGUCAGCAACACUGAAGUAGCUACUAAAGCCUCUUCAGUGCUCUAUUCAGAGAUCGGCUGGAGAUGGAGGAAAGUCCUUUUAAUUCUACAGCCCAGCAAGCACAAUGCUUAGUACACAGCAGGUUGCAAACUGCUUCCCCUUUUGAGGUGCUCACACAUUUCAGGUGUCAAUUGAAACUCAUUUUGCAUACCCAGUGUGUCUCCAUAGUUGUUAAGAGCCAUGUUUUGAAGGAGCAGGGAUGUAAGGCUCUGCUUGUUUUAAUCAUGUUGUCCCACUUCAUUUUGAAACCUUUCCCUUUCAAAAGCUGUGUCCUGCAUUUUCUUCCAUCACCCCACAGCAAGACCUGUAUGGUAGGUCCCACAGAACUUAAUCUGUUAUUUGAUAGUCCACAGGUUUGGAUAAGAAUUUUUCAAUUUUAAGACAAAACUGGCCCUUCUUUCCCUGUGGUUCCCUGUAACAUGAAUCUCCCACCUGUGUGUGCUCAUGGCAGCAAUGGCACAAGCAAAGAAUACACUGGCCAAAUGGCACCUCCGUCCCCAGCAGACCCCAGGCAGCUUCUCAUGUUGUGCACAAUCUAUCCUGCACUCCUGGUCUGCACAUAGAUCUGAGAUGUCUUGUCUCUGCAGGUGGUUGUUUCCUGGCAGGAUGCUGUUCGCAGCCCAGCACAGGAUUAUCCAGAGGCUCAGGUCUUUUAUCAAAGGCAGCAACUCUGUCCUUGCUGCAGUCCCAGACCACUGAGAGAAGGAGGUUCAAAGGACAGAGUCAGGUAAAACACCAAGAGGGUGAUGCUGAUGGGAGAACAAAACAGCAAGGUCUUUAGGAGAGGUAUAUCUACUGAAGAAACUCAUGGUACAUGCAGGUAAUUCCGGUAGGAUGCUGGUGUGCUGAACCGGCAUUUCAGGUGUCUCUUACUUGUGCACUGGAGUCUCAACAAACUCAUCCGAUGUGGGCCUAGAUCUUGCCUUUGAACGUUGUUGUCUAUGCUUUGAGCCCUCUUCUACAGCAAAUCAAGAUCAUGUUGCUUUGACACAAUAUUGUCAUUCUUAACUAUGUAUGCUGCAUUUUCUUGAGCAGGAUUGAGAAGGGAGGUUUCAAAAUAUUAAUUUUAGUUAUUUAGUGUUGUGUUUUAAAAGUUCACAUGGAAGAAUGCUGACGGAUAUAACAUAUUUUUCCAUCCAAGAUGUUUCAAAUGUACAUGAGGAACUUGCAAAUAAACUGAGCUUGGCAAAUGGU